UUUGCAGUACUGUCACACGCCCUUGGAAGUUUUUAAAGGUAAGGUGCUCCAUUCUUUUUAUUAGUCUUCAUUGCUAACUUAAAUGCCUAGUUUGAUUGUCUUACACGACUACACAUGCAGCCCAUGUGCCUUUGAUUGAUCUACUGUCCAGAUCGAAAACGGGGAAGGAAGUACAUACUCCGCACAUGUCCACUUGCUCAAGUGGAAGAUCAUCUAAGAUUGCAGCAUUUAGAGUUAGUGGAAACACGCUUACAACGUCAACAUGUUUCAUUUUCUUACCGGAAAGAACGCUCUCUCCUAAGCACUCACAUUUUCAAUCUGCGGGAAACUAGAAAAUGUGGACGAGCGAAAAUGCUUCACGAUUCCUUUUCCACUUGUUCCUCAUUGUACAUUUCCUACACAUUGCGCUGUCUGUGACAAAUCGCAGGAACACAAAGCCAAGCUAGAAAGCAAGGAAACUGAAGUUGGUGCUUGC
rnacentral:lncRNA from 1 species